rfam:Bifidobacterium bohemicum DSM 22767 Contig4, whole genome shotgun sequence.
GUGAAACCCCCUUCACUCGGAUCGUUCGGCACGUACCUGCCGAUGAAAGGAUAAUUAU